CAUGAUUCCUCAAAGACAAUCUUGACCAACAACCUCACUUAGAUCACUAAAGUACCUCGCAUCAGAUUUCAAAUCAGUCUACUCAUCAGGUCCACUCUACCAUGCCAGACCAGUGUUAAGGCAUCCAAGUUAUAAGGAUGAGAUUCCAAAUUACCCAGCUGCCAUAAAGCUAGAGUGUUCCUGUGUGCAUCCUGAACGCUGGCUGACGACAUGGUUCAUCUGGAGUCCACUCCAAUCAUGUGUUCCCUCAAUGACUGAAAAAUUUGAGCAUAAUGACUACCUAAGAUUCAUAUCUGUACAUACCCAAAAUGUUUAUUAAAUAGAAAUAAAGAUAAAAUAAUGUGUA
rnacentral:lncRNA from 1 species